rnacentral:rRNA from 1 species
UUUAAUUGAAGAGUUUGAUCAUGGCUCAGAUUGAACGCUGGCGGCAGGCCUAACACAUGCAAGUCGAGCGGCAGCGGAAAGUAGCUUGCUACUUUGCCGGCGAGCGGCGGACGGGUGAGUAAUGUCUGGGAAACUGCCCGAUGGAGGGGGAUAACUACUGGAAACGGUGGCUAAUACCGCAUAACGUCUUCGGACCAAAGUGGGGGACCUUCGGGCCUCACACCAUCGGAUGUGCCCAGAUGGGAUUAGCUAGUAGGUGGGGUAAUGGCUCACCUAGGCGA